AUUGAACGCUGGCGGCAUGCCUUACACAUGCAAGUCGAACGGUAACAGGUCUUCGGAUGCUGACGAGUGGCGCACGGGAGAGUAAUACAUCGGAACGUGCCCGAACGUGGGGGAUAACGAGGCGAAAGCUUUGCUAAUACCGCAUACGAUCUACGGAUGAAAGCGGGGGAUCUUCGGACCUCGCGGGGACGGAGCGGCCGAUGGCAGAUUAGGUAGUUGGUGGGAUAAAAGCUUACCAAGCCGACGAUCUGUAGCUGGUCUGAGAGGAUGAUCAGCCACACUGGGACUGAGACACGGCCCAGACUCCUACGGGAGGCAGCAGUAGGGAAUUUUGGACAAUGGGCGAAAGCCUGAUCCAGCCAUGCCGCGUGCAGGAUGAAGGCCUUUGGGUUGUAAACUGCUUUUGUACGGAACGAAAAGCCUCUUUCUAAUAAAGAGGGGUCAUGACGGUACCGUAAGAAUAAGCACCGGCUAACUACGUG
rnacentral:rRNA from 1 species